rnacentral:lncRNA from 1 species
UUUCUUCCUCGUAUCAUCUCUAAUCCUCGUCAGAGGCGCUGAUGGCGGAGAGCACCACCUUUGCUAUUGACCACCAGAAAAACACCACUAAUCCUCCUUGCUCUCCUCUUCCCAUUCCCACUAUCUCCUUCCCUCGAAUUUCACUAGAGACUCUCGAAUAUCUCAUUGAAGAUUUUCCGGCCAUGACACUGCUUACUCCAAAGGGACCCAAAUUAACACUGUGGCACUGCCUGAGCAUCCUCUCUACAACCCCCAUAACCACUUGUUUGGAAGAUGGGUGGAAUUGUUCGAAUUUAAUUUGAAAGUUUUCCGGCGAACUCUCGUUUCAUCAAACUUCCCAAAUGGGUGCAUGAGACUGUCCCCGCUUUCUUCAGGAUAUUUCUGCCAUUGGCAGGGCUCAAAUGAAAACAGGAUUGCUCAAAUUGCGAGCUAUGUUUUAGCAGACCUCAAGCCCAUUAGUGAGUUCUCGAAUGAUUUCAUUCUCUUCUGUUUAUUCCCAUUCUCAUCUAGGUUAAUUGCCAGUUGUAAUUUGCAUGUCUAUUAUUUUUUUCCAUCUUGUGUUCUAAGUCUUCUGGUUGUUCGUCUGACGUACCUGGGUUUGUUUGAUCAUAGAUAAAUGGUUAUUUUUAGUUUAUGUAAAUAUCCCUUUUAAAUUCUGGUUCUGCAUACUGUAGUCAAUAUUUGCUGUUUGAUUUUGUUUCAUUUAGACUGAGUUCAGGAUAUUUUUUCUUUAGUUUAGUGUAAUGUUUGUAUUAUCUUCUUGUUAUAAUUAUUUUACUUUCCAUGUAAUUGAGUUGUAAAUUGUUUUGUUUGGUAGUUUAAUUUGGUUUGGGGUUUGAUUUGAUUUAACUAGGGAUUUUUAAGUUUUGCAAUUAAUAUGUUCUGGAUAAUUAGAGGGGAGUAAUUUCAGGGAAGGGGUAAGGGUAGAAUAAGGAAUACACAUGAGGAAUCUAACUAGAAUUCCAUGGAAGUUUCUAGGAAUGGGGGUUGAAGUACAUUUCAGGGAAUAUGAAGGGAUAAGAGUUAAAAUAAAUAAGGGACUAGAAGGAAAUAAUAUUCUUCUUGUUUGCCUAUAAAUAGGCAUCAUAAUAGCCUUGUGGAGGGGGGCGGGGCCCGGGGGGGGUCUCUUUUCAGCCAUCUAAAUUCCCCAAAUACUCUCUCUCUUUAAUCGGUACAGAUCUGAAGUAAGAAGAAAUUCAAAAAAAAAAAAAAAAUUGAUUACUGUUUCAUUCGUUUUUAGUUCAAAAUUCAAGCUCUGAACUUCAAAAGAUUUCUAGAUCGAUUUUGAGUGAAUUUGGGUCUUAACGAGUGGAUUGUGGUAUACUUUGGAUUGCUAAAGGUUUAAAAGAUGUGCUGGUCUGUUUUUUAGUCAAUUUGGUUGAUUUUUGGCUUUCAUUUGGAUUUAAACAUUUAUGGGCUGCUUAAUCUAUUUCCUAAGCUGUGUUGAGUAUUAAAUUGCUGAUGCUCAUCCGGCUCUACUGCUGAUCUCUCGUGUUUCUUAAUUUCAUAUCCCAGAUACAUUUUUCUUAACCCAGGUGAUCUGGAAACUUGAAUCAAUUUGUAUGAGUCAGCUUUGGGAAUAAAUGAAGAAGAAUUGCAUAGUUUUCCUAUGAGUUUUCCUUAUAAUCGCCAUUAGCUUCAAUACUUAGCUAUGAUACUAAUUUGAACAAAUAGCUAUUUGUAUUAAUUAGGACUCUAAGGAUUGUUAUGAACUAUAUUGACCGAGACUGUUUAGCUUUAGUAAAGUAGUGACGUAUGAAUUCGAAUUAAACAGGUUGGGGAUGAUUGGCAGUUUAACCUGUAGACUGGUGAAGUGUGUUAUGAUUCUGUUUAUAAAGUUUUAAUAGUGUUGAAAUUAGAAAGAUAAUUUUGAAGCAGAAAUGAUAUGAUGGUCAGGACAUAGACCUUUUGUUCAAGUCUAAUAAGAUAACAUUUAAUAGCAAGUUUAGUAAUUAACUUCAAAAUCACUUUACGCCUCGCAUUAAGUUGCACUUUGUUUCCCGUUUGAUUGGUAGUUAAUAAUAUUUGGGAAAUUACUAGUGUAGACAAAUAGAGAAAAAGAACAAAAGGAAUACG